rnacentral:rRNA from 1 species
AUUGAACGCUGGCGGCGUGCCUAACACAUGCAAGUCGAUCGGUAACAGGUGUAGCAAUACAUGCUGACGAGAGGCGGACGGGUGAGUAACGCUUGGGAAUCUGCCUAUUAGUGGGGGACAACCCGGGGAAACUCGGGCUAAUACCGCAUACGCUCUACGGAGGAAAGCCGGGGACCGCAAGGCCUGGCGCUAAUAGAUGAGCCCAAGUCGGAUUAGCUAGUUGGUAGGGUAAUGGCCUACCAAGGCGACGAUCCGUAGCUGGUCUGAGAGGACGACCAGCCACACUGGGACUGAGACACGGCCCAGACUCCUACGGGAGGCAGCAGUGGGAAUAUUGGACAAUGGGGAAACCCUGAUCCAGCGACGCCGCGUGGGUGAAGAAGGCCUGCGGGUUGUAAAGCCCUUUCGGUGGGGAAGAAAAGCCUCGACCUAACACGUCGGGUAUUGACGUAACCCAC